CAAAGGUCUAUAUUGCCAAACAACUCUGUUUUAAAUAUUAUCUUUGCUUCAUAUUCAUACCUGAUAGUCUUCUCUGAGGGUACCAAUCAAAGGUCAAGACCUUUUUCACAACAUCACUGAUCUUCCUUGAAAAUCCAUGGAGAGUGGAUAGAUCAGAUAGUGGAGUGGUAACUGAAGAAAUAAAGAGGAAGUUGCUCAGGACAGAAGAUAAAAACAUGAGACAAAGGAAACAAACUGCUCUUGGAUAGGGUGCUUCUGAGGCUGGGAUUCUUCCCAGGGAAGACCACGCUGCGGAUCUACUGCUGCAUAAGGAGCCAUGCCAAAAGGACCAGAAAAGGCUUUGGAGUUCCUAACUGGUUUGGGACCAGAGACGGGGAGCACUUAACCAGAGCUCCACUCAGAAGACACCUGGAAUGGGGCUCAUCCCAGACUCAGCCAGGAGGGACAGACCUUAACCUUGGCUGGGACCCAGAAGGCAGAGGAUAGAAAAGAAAAAGGAAGUAAAGAGGAAAUAGAGAAAGCAAACUCUAUGUGGACUGAAAUACAACCUGCUGGGAAGACUGGAAAACGGUUUAGAGUCCUCUGGAUGCCAGAUGUGUUCGUGACCCAGCUACAAGGAAACUGGAUUCUUUCUGGUCACGUUGGAUAUCUGCAUGCGCUUCUAAGUGUUGUAUUGCAUAAAGGAUCCAGCUCCCUGACCAGGGAUUGAACUUGGGGCCCCUGCGUUGGAAGCAUCGAGUCCCAGCCUCUGGACAACCAGGGAAGUCCCUACAGCUCCAUUUUCAAUCAAGAACACUGAGGCUCAGUGGAAAACAAUGUGUGGGCUUGUUGCUAAAGAAGAGGAGCAGUGAUGUUGAGGAAUGCUUACUCAUCUCUGCAACCUAAAGACUCCUCACAAUUCAUCUAGAUGAUGAUGCACUUGUAUGAGAGGUGGUAGCCGGAGUGGAAAUGGGUUCCUGAAGGGAUUUUCUGGGUAACUGUGAGGACAAUGCUGGUGUGAUUGGAC
ensembl:lncRNA